rnacentral:rRNA from 1 species
UACACACCGCCCGUCACACCAUGGGAGUGGGUUGCAAAAGAAGUAGGUAGCUUAACCUUCGGGAGGGCGCUUACCACUUUGUGAUUCAUGACUGGGGUGAAGUCGUAACAAGGUAACCGUAGGGGAACCUGCGGUUGGAUCACCUCCUUACCUGAAAGAA